rnacentral:rRNA from 1 species
UACGUAGGGUGCAAGCGUUAAUCGGAAUUACUGGGCGUAAAGCGUGCGCAGGCGGUGAUGUAAGACAGGUGUGAAAUCCCCGGGCUUAACCUGGGAACUGCAUUUGUGACUGCAUCGCUGAGAGUACGGUAGAGGGGGAUGGAAUUCCGCGUGUAGCAGUGAAAUGCGUAGAUAUGCGGAGGAACACCGAUGGCGAAGGCAAUCCCCUGGACCUGUACUGACGCUCAUGCACGAAAGCGUGGGGAGCAAACAGG